rnacentral:rRNA from 1 species
GAUGAACGCUGGCGGCGUGCCUAAUACAUGCAAGUCGAGCGAACAGACGAGGAGCUUGCUCCUCUGACGUUAGCGGAGGACGGGUGAGUAACACGUGGAUAACCUACCUAUAAGACUGGGAUAACUUCGGGAAACCGGAGCUAAUACCGGAUAAUAUAUUGAACCGCAUGGUUCAAUAGUGAAAGACGGUUUUGCUGUCACUUAUAGAUGGAUCCGCGCCGCAUUAGCUAGUUGGUAAGGUAACGGCUUACCAAGGCAACGAUGCGUAGCCGACCUGAGAGGGUGAUCGGCCACACUGGAACGGAGACACGGUCCAGACUCCUACGGGAGGCAGCAGUAGGGAAUCUUCCGCAAUGGGCGAAAGCCUGACGGAGCAACGCCGCGUGAGUGAUGAAGGUCUUCGGAUCGUAAAACUCUGUUAUUAGGGAAGAACAAAUGUGUAAGUAACUAUGCACGUCUUGACGGUACCUAAUCAGAAAGCCACGGCUAACUACGUG